rnacentral:rRNA from 1 species
AGGGUGCAAGCGUUAAUCGGAAUUACUGGGCGUAAAGCGCACGUAGGCGGUUUGUUAAGCGGUCUGUGAAAGCCCCGGGCUUAACCUGGGAACUGCAGGCCGAACUGACAAGCUAGAGUACAGUAGAGGAGAGUGGAAUUCCCGGUGUAGCGGUGAAAUGCGUAGAUAUCGGGAGGAACAUCAGUGGCGAAGGCGGCUCUCUGGACUGAUACUGACGCUGAGGUGCGAAAGCGUGGGUAGCGAACAGGAUUAGAUACCCUGGUAGUCCACGCCGUAAACGAUGUCUGCUAGCCGUUGGAUCCGUUAAGGAUUUAGUGGCGCAGCUAACGCGAUAAGCAGACCGCCUGGGGAGUACGGCCGCAAGGUUAAAACUCAAAUGAAUUGACGGGGGCCCGCACAAGCGGUGGGGCAUGUGGUUUAAUUCGAUGCAACGCGAAGAACCUUACCGCCCCUUGACAUCCUGCGAACUUUCUAGAGAUAGAUUGGUGCCUUCGGGAA